rnacentral:lncRNA from 1 species
GUUCUAUUGGUUACUCAGAACAGCCUUGAUAUGACACAAUAGAGGACUAGGCAAGAGCAUCAAUCCAGGAAUUUAGGGCUCAUGGGUGCCAUCUUGGAGACAAGCUAGCAUGCCUGUAAUGCUAGAAGCUGAACCCAGGAGCACCAUCAGAGGCUGUAGAUUCUGGUGAUGUCUCAAACACUCUUCCUGUGAUCUUGAUACAGUAACAAAAUUUCUGAGUACCCUGAAAAUGGAAAUAAUAUGUUUCUACCAGAAACUUCUAACAGAGUUUGACACAGACACUUGCCCCAGUGUGUCAUGCUCAGAGGAAUGACCCAUGGGUCCUAAUGAGAGAGACAACAGAAGCUGAAAUAUAACUGCUGAGAAAGGAGGAACUUUUCUAGAAGAACUUAAAUCCAAAAGGCUAUGGGAUAGUAAUGAGAAG